rnacentral:rRNA from 1 species
GACGAACGCUGGCGGCGUGCUUAACACAUGCAAGUCGAACGGAAAGGCCUGUCUGUUGUGGGGUGCUCGAGUGGCGAUCGUGUGAGUAACACGUGUGUAACCUGCCCUGUACGUGGGGAUAUCUGUAGGAAACUGGGGCUAAUACCGGAUAGGAGCUGUGGUGGCAUGGUGGGGGUUGGAAAGUUUCGGCGGUUGGGGAUGGACUCGCGGCUUAUCAGCUUGUUGGUGGGGUAGUGGCUUACCAAGGCUUUGACGGGUAGCCGGCCUGAGAGGGUGACCGGCCACAUUGGGACUGAGAUACGACCCAGACUCCACAGGGAGGCAGCAGUGGGGAAUAUUGCACAAUGGGCGGAAGCCUGAUGCAGCACAGCCGCGUGCGGGAUGACGGCCUUCGGGUUGUAACAAAAAAUCGCCUGUGACGAAGCGUGAGUGACGGUAAUGGGUAAAGAAGCACCGGCUAACUACGUG